rnacentral:rRNA from 1 species
GACGAACGCUGGCGGCGUGCCUAAUACAUGCAAGUAGAACGCUGAAGGAGGAGCUUGCUUCUCUGGAUGAGUUGCGAACGGGUGAGUAACGCGUAGGUAACCUGCCUGGUAGCGGGGGAUAACUAUUGGAAACGAUAGCUAAUACCGCAUAAUAUUGACUAUUGCAUGAUAGUCAGUUGAAAGGUGCAACUGCACCACUACCAGAUGGACCUGCGUUGUAUUAGCUAGUUGGUGGGGUAACGGCUCACCAAGGCGACGAUACAUAGCCGACCUGAGAGGGUGAUCGGCCACACUGGGACGGGGACACGGGCCAGACUCCUACGGGAGGCAGCAGUAGGGAAUCUUCGGCAAUGGACGGAAGGCUGACCGAGCAACGCCGCGGGAGUGAAGAAGGUUUUCGGAUCGGAAAGCUCUGUUGUAAGAGAAGAACGAGUGUGGGAGUGGAAAGCUCACACUGUGACGGUAUCUUACCAGAAAGGGACGGCUAACUACGUG